UACAGAGGGCACAAGCGUUGUUCGGAUUCACUGGGCGUAAAGGGUGCGUAGGCGGUCGGGUAAGUCUGGCGUGAAAUCUCCAAGCCUAACUUGGAAACUGCGUUGGAUACUAUCCGGCUCGAGGAAUGGAGGGGAGACUGGAAUACUUGGUGUAGCAGUGAAAUGCGUAGAUAUCAAGUGGAACACCAGUGGCGAAGGCGAGUCUCUGGACAUUUCCUGACGCUGAGGCACGAAAGCCAGGGGAGCAAACGGG
rnacentral:rRNA from 1 species